rnacentral:rRNA from 1 species
GGGGUCUGUCCGCGUGCCUAUACUGGCAGUCGAGCGAACUGAUUAGAAGCUUGCUUCUAUGACGUUAGCGGCGGACGGGUGAGUAACACGUGGGCAACCUGCCUGUAAGACUUGGGAUAACUUCGGGAAACCGAAGCUAAUACCGGAUAGGAUCUUCUCCUUCAUGGGAGAUGAUUGAAAGAUGGUUUCGGCUAUCACUUACAGAUGGGCCCGCGGUGCAUUAGCCUAGUUGGUGAGGUAACGGCUCACCAAGGCAACGAUGCAUAGCCGACCUGAGAGGGUGAUCGGCCACACUGGGACUGAGACACGGCCCAGACUCCUACGGGAGGCAGCAGUAGGGAAAUCUUCCGCAAUGGACGAAAGUCUGACGGAGCAACGCCGCGUGAGUGAUGAAGGCUUUCGGGUCGUAAAACUCUGUUGUUAGGGAAGAACAAGUACGAGAGUAACUGCU